UACGUAGGGUGCGAGCGUUAAUCGGAAUUACUGGGCGUAAAGCGUGCGCAGGCGGUUUUGUAAGCCAGAUGUGAAAUCCCCGGGCUUAACCUGGGAAUGGCAUUUGGGACUGCAAGGCUUGAGUUUGGCAGAGGAGACUGGAAUUCCUGGUGUAGCAGUGAAAUGCAUAGAUAUCAGGAGGAAUACCGAUGGCGAAGGCAGGUCUCUGGGCUAGAACUGACGCUCAUGCACGAAAGCGUGGGGAGCAAACAGG
rnacentral:rRNA from 1 species